rnacentral:rRNA from 1 species
UACGUAGGGUGCGAGCGUUACUCGGAAUUACUGGGCGUAAAGCGUGCGCAGGCGGUUUUGCAAGCCGGAUGUGAAAUCCCCGGGCUCAACCUGGGAAUGGCAUUUGGGACUGCAAGGCUUGAGUGCGGCAGAGGAGACUGGAAUUCCUGGUGUAGCGGUGAAAUGCGCAGAUAUCAGGAAGAACACCCGUGGCUAAGGCGGCUCUCUAGUACGGUACUGACGCUGAGACGCGAAAGCGUGGGGAGCGAACAGG